GAUAAACACAACAAGAAGCAGCUGAACAGUAAAAGUGUAAUUCUGGAGACAGAAACAAGUAGAGAUAGAGAAGGUCAGAAGGAACUUUGCAGCUAAGAGGAGGAAAGACGGCUGCAAUGUAAGACCAUCUUUAGAAAAGCAGAAAAUCCUCAGAAAACCUGGAUGUUUACAGCCUUGACUUCAAUUUGAACAAAAACUGGAAAGCAUGAAUCUGCUUGCUGGUGAGGAAAAAUAAGACUCCUGUAAGCCUUUUUACGAUUCCAUACAGCAGGCAGAAAACCUGAAUGUGCAAUGUUAGAAGAGAAAAUGAAGAGAAUGAAAGAAUAAAACUACUAAAAUGUCAAACUCACAAGGACCUACUGAAAUUCAGGACAAAAUUCAGUUUCAGGGCUACUUUAAAGGAACUGCAGCCUUAGUUCUCUGGUGUCCUGUUUUCAGAAGUAUACAUAUAAAUUUAUGCACAGACAAUCCAAAUGUGAGAGCUGUGAUUGUUCAGGAUUAUUCUGUAUAUACUAUGGCUGGAAGCAAGACCAGUUCCUGAGGAAGUGUUUCAUUCAGCCAGCUUUGUGCCACUUGAGCUUUUUCCAGCCCCUAAUCAUCUUGAUGGCCCUCUGCUGGACUCCCUCUGCUGGACUCAUUCCUGUAUAACAGCAUCGUCUUUGCAGUGAGGAGCCCCAAACCGAACACAGUUCUCCAGAUGCAGAUUCAUGAGCACUAAACAGAAAUCUUCUGAAGUUUUAUCUCCUAGUUUCUGAUAUGGCUACAAACUGCUUAAGACAGG